rnacentral:RNase_P_RNA from 1 species
GAGGAAAGUCCGAGCUACACAGGGCAGAGUGCCAGAUAACGUCUGGGCGGCGUGAGCCGACGACCAGUGCAACAGAGAGCAGACCGCCGCGUAAGCGGUAAGGGUGAAAGGGUGCGGUAAGAGCGCACCGCGUGAGUGGUAACAUUUCACGGCAGGGUAAACUCCACUCGUAGCAAGACCAAAUAGGAACUCAAUGGAUGGCCCGUCCAGAGUUCGGGUAGGUUGCUUGAGCACAAUAGCGAUGUUGUGCCUAGAGGAAUGAUUGUCCACGACAGAACUCGGCUUA